rnacentral:lncRNA from 12 species
UCUCUUAUUCUCUUUGCAGUGUGCAUGAACAAGCUCUUUGUCCUUUAGGAAAGGUGUGGGGGGGGGCAGGGGGCGGGUUCAGGAUUUUUGCAGCCUGGAAGCUGUUCUCUUCCUGCUCCAAACCAGAGAGACACAGUGAACCACCACCUCUCCCUGCAGCAUGCACGGAUAUAGGUCACAGAAGGCCUACUGACUCCAACAAAAGUACUUGAAGUCCAUGGAAAACCUCACAAAUCCUCCAGGAAGUUAAAGAGGUGGUGAUAUUAAAGCAAACGCUUUCCUGCUGUCCAAACAGACACGCUGUGGUUCUGAAUUCUGAUGGAAAGGCUACUCCAUCUCUCAUCCAUCCAUCAAAGAUUCUCUGAGCUAGUACAGUAUACGAGCAGGUCCUGGAGGUACAGCUGGGAACUAAACAUUCCCUUCACUCAAGCUGCUGCUACUUUAGAGGUGGAAAGAUGGGUAAAUAUGGGAUUAAUGUCUAUAGUGUGUGAUUAAAUGCUAUGUGGCAGGAGAGCACAGGGAGCUGAGGGAACUCAUAGGAAUGUGGUACCUUGCCCAGCCUAGAGAGGCAGAGGAAACUUCCUGGGGAUGCCCAAUGAACUAAUCCCAAGAAGCUGACUGAAAAAGAGCUGGGGGGAAACAAGCAUUAGUUUGGGUCUUAUCUCCCUUGCUCAUCCCAGUUGGUAUUUUGAAAGACCAUUAAAUGACCUUUUCAUUAAAUCCAAUGGUUCUUUUUUUUUCUUUUAAUGGCAUCCAAGACUCUUGACCAUGACUAUUUUCCCUUCACUCUCCUGACAUGCUGAUUGUCCUGGCUGUCAUAGUCUCAUCUGCUCCUGCUUUUCCCUAUCCUUGCUGAUGUCUCCUUCCGUGCCUUGUUGUUUGACCCUCUUUCCCUUCCAUACAUCUUUGUGUGCAGUUCACUGAAGGGUCAACCUAGAAUUCUUGGAGUUAUCUUCUCCUUCUGGGAGAGUUCAUUAAUCCUUAAAGUCUCUAUAUCUCUAGCCUAACUCUUUCUUCAUUAAAAUCACAUACACCAUACCUCAAACUAUGUAAAAACUGACCCCAUUCUCUGUCUUCAUAUAUCUACAUUAGUCCUAUCAUAGUCCUCCUUCUACUGCAAAACCCACCUAGAGCAUAGAUAUCUGUAAUUAUUAACACCUCAGUUAGAAUUUGUUUUCUCCUUCUGGUAAUGGUGCCAAUGAUUACACUUUAAGUCUCAUCUCAAAUUGUAGAAUAUGGAUUUUGUCCCUUGUUAGGGGAAUCUUAACCCCACUACACUGAAGGAGAUCAGAAUAUACCACCUCAAAAUAUGCCACUUUGGCAUAAGGAUUAUUUUGAGCUGAAGGCAGUUGAGAAACAGCAGAUAUGGAGAAACAUUCUCUACCCUCCCCUUUCUGCCUAAAGACAAAGUAUAAAUUUCCCUUUGUGAAGAUGUCCUUCCUCCCCGCUCCCAUCCCAGGGAGAAGAAAAUCACCAGAGAUGCUCUUAUCACCCC